AAUUGCUAUAAGUCGUUGAAGAGUACCUUCGACUAUCUUUCGUCUCCAUCAUCAGACUGAAAUGGCACUUAUAGCUCAUAUAUAUGCAAAGUUCUCAUAAAUAGAAACGAAUUAAGUUCAAACAGCAGGUAAUUGCUAUAAAUCGUUAAAGAGUUCCCUCGACUAACUUUAGUCUCCAUCAUCAGACUGUAAUGGCACUUAUAACUUAUAUAUAUGCAAAGUUCUCAUCAAUAGAAACGAAUUAAGUUCAAAAAGCAGGUAAUUGCUAUAAAUUGUUGAAGAGUUCUCUCGACUAUCUUUCUUCUCCAUCAUCAGAUCGACUCCAGACCUUUAUUAAAUAGUAGUAGUUUAUAGUGCUUAAUGAAAACAUGAUUAAAUUUACUAGUCACCCUUACGAUUUUUGAAAGUUUCCCUCGAUUUCUCUGGGAUCCCAUCAUCAGAUCCUGAUUUCCUUAUCAUGGUACCAAACUAU
rnacentral:misc_RNA from 1 species